GUCAUCUUCCCUGUUGGCUGAGACCAAGUCAGGAGUGGGGUGGAGACCUGCAAGGAUCUCACGUAUCCAAGCUGACUUCAAAGAGAUCUGUGUAACUGAAGAUGACCUUGGACUUCUGACCCUCUAAAGAGCUGGGACUACCGGCAGAAUCUCAUGGCAUCCUAUCUUGGACCCACUUCAUCAAGGCCUUGGGGACCCCGCCUGCCUUCUGCCAACAAGAGAUAGGGUGAGGAUGCACA